UGGGGAAUAUUGGACAAUGGGCGCAAGCCUGAUCCAGCCAUGCCGCGUGAGUGAUGAAGGCCCUAGGGUUGUAAAGCUCUUUCACCGGUGAAGAUAAUGACGGUAACCGGAGAAGAAGCCCCGGCUAACUUCGUGCCAGCAGCCGCGGUAAUACGAAGGGGGCUAGCGUUGUUCGGAUUUACUGGGCGUAAAGCGCACGUAGGCGGACUUUUAAGUCAGGGGUGAAAUCCCGGGGCUCAACCCCGGAACUGCCUUUGAUACUGGAAGUCUUGAGUAUGGUAGAGGAGAGUGGAAUUCCGUGUGUAGAGGUGAAAUUCGUAGAUAUUCGGAGGAACACCAGUGGCGAAGGCGGCUCACUGGACCAUUACUGACGCUGAGGUGCGAAAGCGUGGGGAGCAAACAGG
rnacentral:rRNA from 1 species